AUCAUGCAGCACUAGUUGUGUGAGUCUCUUCCUAAGAGCAUCUUACAUGAAGAGGAAGAGAGAGUGAUGCAGCCAAGGAUGACUUGCCGGCGUUACACUGCAUGCCCUUCACGGUAACUUUGUCGGCAAGUGGUUCUUGGCUACGUUUGGCUCUUUUCUUAUCAUGUAAAUACUCGCUAGGAUCAAUUAUUGCAUCAGAAACUCCUUCACUUGCAUACACUGCUACAAGAUUGUGUAUGUUUUUCUGGGAGAAACUGUGUAAAAGGUUUGUGUUGCAGUAUAUACAAUGGAGACUUGAAAGCUAUUUGACAGAUGCAGAACAAAAAUAGAAAACAUUAUUGGAAAACUAAAAGCUGUUUAUGAGAUGUUUUGGUAAAAAUAUGAAGGUUUGUAGAGAUCAAGAUAACAUGUCAGCAUACAGCCAGACCAAGAAACAGAGAAUUGAAAUUUUGAACAGGUAGUCCAUUCAUGCCAUACAUUAUGGUCAUUUUCUUUGACCAAUUGAACAUUGCACCAAAAAAACCACAUAUUGAUGAAGGUGAUGUGACUGAGAGUAAACAAAAAUUACAAAAAACAAACAUAUAUUUACUCUUUUGUGUUUCUACUUCAAUUUUUUCUUCUUUCUUCUUAUUACAUAACACUGUGGAUCACAUUGAAGAUUUUAAUUAUUAGGUCCGAACAGUGAUAGUUUAGUAUGGUGACAAUGUACAUCACGGUGUGAAAGUGAAAUAGGCACGUUUAUCUGUGCACUGUCCAUGUCCAUGUGCAAGAAAAAAUGCUUAAUUGCAUGCACAUGCUGAACUUUUUUGUACCUGGGGCCAUCCAAAGUGGACCAAACAAUUAUAUCUCUGCUUCUUUUGUACAUUUUGAGUCUCCCAAAAUGAUUCCUGAAAUGCAUCAUGUGCAGCAGUUAUGUGUCAUUGGUACGUAAGCAAAAAUUAUUUUUCUUUUCACAUCUCUAUAUUAUAUGUAUAUUAUUACUAAACAUUACUUUAAAAGUUAUCUGCAAUAUUCAUGUGUCUAUGAUGUUCCAUCAUCAUUGAUUUAUGGAUAGCAUUUAUGAAGAUGUAAUUUUCAUAAGAGUGGACCACUCAACAUCUCAUUUUUUUUUCUUACUUUAAAAACUAAUCUAGGGUUUUGUCUUACUCUUUUGUUUAAACUCGGUUUUCUUCUUCUAAAACUACCUUCAUUUUCUAAAACUCCCUUUACAUUAUAAUGAUUUUCAUCACUGUCAUUUUCUUAAAAAAUAUGGAUAGUAAACAAUAAAAUUUUUUCCAUUUCUUCUCUAUUUGCCGAAAAAGAUCUUCCAAAAAAAAUCCAAUAUUCUUUCUUAAACCUUUUUCUCUCAAAAGAGAAUUGAAAUUUGGAAUUCAUGAUAAAGAGACCUUAAGAGGAGAAAGUUUCUUCCAACAUUUUUUACUUGAUGUGGGACUUCUCCUUCACAUUUCUCUGUUCAUGUUCUUCACAGAUUUCUCACAUCACUGUUAGAAACUCAAACCUUACAAGGGAAUAAACAGAUAGACAUAAAAGGGUAUUCGAAGCCUUUCACGAAUGAAAAUACACAGACAGAAGAUAAAAUGACAGACAUCUACCGAGAAAGAGCCUGUCAGAGACACUAGUUAAGAAAACAAGAGUGAAAAAUCUUCUUUUGAUAUUCAUAUUGUAUCUAUGUACUGUAAAAUUUGGCUAAAGCGAUUUCAUAGUUUUGCAUGUUUAGGAUGUUGAAGUUGCAGUGCAAUUUUGGUAUGAAAAAAUUUACUUAUUUUUCCUUAAAC